GGAACAUAACCCGAAGGACACAUGUUGCUCUUCCCGAACAGUCUAUGAGUGAACUUUUCUUUUUAAAUACACAGGAGAAACUGAAGGACGGGAUAAAAAGCGUGGGUUGGUCAUCUGGAGACGAGGUGCCGGGGCGGCGUGUCACGGAGAGAGCUGUUCACCCACGGUGGCUGUGGACCUGCGGUGAUUACCUCUCACCUAAUCCCUAGAUAGGAGAAGGAAGUCAUACAACCAGCAGGAGCCAGCAGUGCAGAGGCAGGUGAAGAACAGAGCCAAAAAGGUUAACUAGCCAUUUCCACAUCCAAGCUGUUUAUGGACAUCACAUCCAGGACGCAUGGAUGCAUAAAGGACAGAUCUCUGCCAGCCUAUCACGCCAUGACUGGAGGGAGGCUGGUGACCCGAGUCUGGACCAUACCAACUUUCUGUGUGGACUGUACCAACUGGCAGAC
ensembl:lncRNA